rnacentral:tmRNA from 1 species
UAUAUUGACACUUUUAAAAUUUUCUUGUAUAAUUUAAGCGUGGUUUUUUUUAUCCGCUAUGGCAAUAAAAACUUCUCAGAAUAGGUGUAUUGGACCCGAGGGCAGUGCUCGGCAUCUCCACUUUUUUAAGGGGAUGAAACAGGAUUGACAGGCAUAGUAAAGGAGACAGUUGUUGCUCGGUGAGAAUGCAGCCGUAAAUGCGCAAAAUGAUAAGUGCAAACGACAAUCUCGUUGCCGCUAAUGAUAACUAUGGAUAUGCUAAUUUAGCAGCUGCUUAGUUUAUCUUGUAGCGCGGUUUUUUGCGAAAGUUUACCGGGCAACAGAAAAACUUUCGU